rnacentral:rRNA from 1 species
CCUAUCGAAAGAUGGACUAAUACCGCAUACGCUCUACGGAGGAAAGCGGGGGUCGCAAGACCUCGCACUAUAGGAGCGGCCGAUAUCGGAUUAGCUAGUUGGCGGGGUAAAAGCCCACCAAGGCUACGAUCCGUAGCUGGUCUGAGAGGAUGAUCAGCCACACUGGAACUGAGACACGGUCCAGACUCCUACGGGAGGCAGCAGUGGGGAAUUUUGGACAAUGGGCGCAAGCCUGAUCCAGCCAUGCCGCGUGAGUGAAGAAGGCCUUCGGGUUGUAAAGCUCUUUCGGCAGGAACGAAAUGGUUCGUGCUAAUACCACGGACUGAUGACGGUACCUGAAGAAGAAGCACCGGCUAACUACGUGCCAGCAGCCGCGGUAAUACGUAGGGUGCAGGCGUUAAUCGGAAUUACUGGGCGUAAAGCGUGCGCAGGCGGUUUCUUAAGUCAGAUGUGAAAGCCCCGGGCUUAACCUGGGAACUGCGUUUGAAACUGGGAGACUU